AUAUACUCCUAGGAAGCCAUUGUGUAUGUAAAUGAAGAACAGAAAUGCUAAACGAUUGAGAGCUCUUGCUAACUUCAACUAAUUGUGAUCAAUUAAUCCUUCUUUUUCUUAUCUUUAGGACCUUCUUUUUGAGAGGAGCUAGUAACUUCUUGCUUCGUACGUUUCCGUUUUACUAAUCCACCUAAAUCAUUGGCAUUUUUCACAGCUUCAGCAACAGCUUGAGCGAGACUGCUGCUAUCCUUAGAUAAUAAGGAUGACUCAUGCAUCUUUGACAUAACAGCUUCUUCCAAACUUGGCGCGCCAUGCUUUAAAUCAAGCGUCUUUUGUUCAAGUUCCGAUAGCAUUUCGCGCAAAUUCUCAAGAUCGCUAGUUAACGUGCUUUCCUCAGCCUUUUGCUUUCCUUUCCCUUUCUUAUCCGUAACUUCAUUUUCCCGCUCAUUUAAGACAUUUUUUAAGAUUUCUGCAGCCUUUUCCACAUGUUCACAAGCGCGGGACUUGUUAGAGGGAUCUUCUGGAUUGGUAAACUCAAGUGCUAGUGCAAGCUUAUAGUGGGCUUCACUUAAAAGUGUAUUAUUUGAAACGUUGUAAACCUUUUCUUUCCACUCAAGGGCCGUUUUUAAAUCCUGAGAAGCCUGAGAAAAGUUUUCAAUUUCGAGAGAAAGUUCUCCCAAUAAAUCGUAAAUAUCCGCCAGUCUUAUCUUUUCAUCCUUACUGUCAGGAUAAGCAUCUACUGCUUUUGACUGCAUGACUCUUGUUAGAUCUAGCACCUCCCAAGCAACGUUAAAAUCGUCUUCAUCUUCUUCAGAAGCUGGAGAUGCUUCGUUUGUUUCUUUUUCUUCACUUUCCUUCUCUGGAUGUGCUAUUGAUGAAUUUUCUUCAUUGACGGUAUAUUUAUUUUCAAUUUUUUGACCAGAAAAUGUGAACGAGCCAAUAGCUUCUGGUUCUUCAAAACUUUCGGUUGCUUGAGACACAGACUCCUUGGCACCCAACGCAUUUCCCAGGACUUGACUAUUUUCAAUAGCUAUUUGAAACAGAGAUUUUCCAUACAGCCAAAGAACAUUUCUAUUCUCCAAACUUUCAGAACCAUGAAUGGACUCUGACUGCAUGAGCGCUUGACCAUACUUAUCAACGGCUUCCUCAUAAUUUUUUUGAGCAUAAGCCAUAUUACCUUGAGUGACUAGUUGCUCAAUUGCUCGCGAAUCCGAAGAAGAAGGGUUUUUGGUAUCAGCAUCUGUAGCACUAUUGCCUUUGCUAUUUUCCAGUGUUUUCGUAUCAGAAGACAUUUUUCGCGUAACUUUUAAAAAUUAUGAAGUUCAAGACUUCAAGUAAUAGGUACGACAAUUAGAUAUUACGCUAGGUCUACCAAAGUGACCCAACAGACUGAAUAGUGAAAAAGAAAAAACGACUCGAUAAUUCACUUUU